rnacentral:rRNA from 1 species
UACAGAGGGUGCGAGCGUUAAUCGGAAUUACUGGGCGUAAAGCGCACGUAGUCGGCUUUGCAAGUCGGGUGUGAAAUCCCCGGGCUCAACCUGGGAACUGCAUCCGAGACUGCAUUGCUAGAGUAUGGGAGAGGGAAGCGGAAUUUCUGGUGUAGCAGUGAAAUGCGUAGAGAUCGGGAAGAACACCGGUGGCGAAAGCGCUCUGCUGGGCCGCAACUGACACUCAGGGACGAAAGCUAGGGGAGCGAAUGGG